UGCUCAAGGGAAGUUGUCAUAUUCAAGUGCGACACGCGGGCGGUUUCUCAGGAUUCAAGGGAAGUUAUCAAAUACAGGCGCCCCCGACCGUGUGGCGGUUUCUCGGCGCUCAUAAAGGCCGCCCAGCCAGCACCCUUCUAUACAAAGCAA